GCCAAUACAUGGACUUACAUCCAACUCCAAACAAACAACACACAAAAGGAAACAGAAUGCCAAUACAUGGACUUACAUCCGACUCCAAACAAUAGCACACGCUAACCAGCGAACACCAAAGAAAAAGGUUAUCAGAUUGACAAACUAAUAGGGAGUUUGGAACUCGAGCCUAAUAGUUGUCACACAAACACAAAGAGACGCUGAGAC
rnacentral:lncRNA from 1 species